UUCAUUUUCUAGCAUGCAUAAUGGCACCGGAAGCUCAAUAUAUUCCAAUAAAUUCAAUUCAAGCCGGAUUGACUCACUAGGAUAAAGUUAACUCUUCCAAUGUACAUUUUCUCCAUUAACACAAGAUUCGAAUCUGAAACAUUAUUUAAGAGGAAGAAACGCCGAACCGUUUGAACUAAUUCACGUGGGUGACUUUUCUUCAUUUUCAAUUAUUGAACCAUCUCCUCCUGAGCCCCCGCCCCUCUAUAAAUACCAAACAUUCAUACCAAGAGUUGCUCAACACAUCCAUUCCAUUUAAAAGACGCAUAGAGAGGGGGCAAAAAAAAAAAGAAUAAGAGAGAGAGAGAGCAUCGGACCGAGUUUGAAUUAUGGCAAGUAUCAACGUUCCUGGAAAGAGCUCGUGGCCGGAGCUGGUAGGGAAAAAUGGGGGGGUUGCGGCGACAACAAUAAUAAGGGAGAAUCCAAAUGUGUACGUGGAGAUGAUCCCGCCAUCUGUCACCGGCAUCACCAGCAACUACAUAAGCAGUCGUGUCCGUGUCAUUGUCGAUGACUCCUGCAUUGUCACAGUAGUCCCUAGUAUUGGGUGAACAAUCGUGUCAUAAAUUGAAUAAGAUGAAUGAGCUCCUCAAUAUGUUAAUUAGGGGAGCCGUUGCCCAUCGCUCUUAAAUGUUAUGAAAUAAAUGUUGUUUACUCCGUAUCUGUCUUAAUUUAGUUAUAUGUAUUGUUUACAUUUGCUCUUCGUCUAUUGCAAGUAUACUAGGAGAAGAAUCACGUACUUUGCACGAGAA